UUGGGUCCUACUUAAGAUUCAGGCAUUUAGCAGCCAAUGGAAGACCUGUGUGUGGGGCUGAGUUGGUCUUUUGGUGGGGCUCACAGGAAAAGGAGGGGAUAAGGUUGUGGCCCUGAUUAAUACUGGUGACCUGCCCCCACCCCCCAAACAGCAGCAUACAUAGGUCAUUGCCUUGGGCCAGUUUAUUAGUGAAGGUGCCUCUUCUUGCUGGAAGCAGGGCUUCUAGGUUUUACAGCAGCAAGAGAAGAGAUGCCCAAGGUGGUCGGGGUAAUGAGCCACACCAGGACCCCACAGCUGGUCUCUCCAGAGGACAACUCUGAAGUUUGGCCAAAAACUGAGGGUCUCACCAAGUUGCUGAGGCUGGCCUCAAACUUGCAAUCCUCCUGCAUCAGCCUCCUGAAUCGCUUGGGUGACAAUUACAGCAUGGGCCACCGGGAUGGAUUUCAUCCUUGGGCUUUUCCUGGUCACAAGAUGGCUGCCAUGGUUCCAGACAACACACCACUUUAAGGUAGAAAGAAGAAGUAUUCUCAGAAUACCUCCACCUCCAACAGACUCCACUUCAUUCACAUCGCCCAGAAAUGGCUCAAACGGUCACCCUGAGCUACAAGGGAGUCUGGAAAUACUUUGCUCCAUCACCUAGGGCUGAGUAUAUUCAGAAUCCUGUUAGUAGAGACGUGGAAAAUGGAUAUUAGAUAAACAACAGAUAGCAUUACUUAGGCUUAGUUCUCUUACCUGAAAAUAGAGAUAAUAAUAAGGUUAUUGUGAAGAUUCAAUAGAAAGUGCUUAGCACCAUGCCCUGCCCAUGUUAAGUACCAAAUAAAAGAUAUGUAUGUU